GAGAGCCAAAUGAAUCGAAAGAUUCAUGUUUGGUUCAGGAAGGGAUCAUGGAAGUUUUGCAAUGAAUGGAAAGAUAAUCUACUUUCAU
rnacentral:ncRNA from 1 species